rfam:Danio rerio chromosome 6, GRCz11 reference primary assembly.
GGUAGCAUGGCCAAGCAGUCUAAUUCACUGGAUUAAGGCUCCAGUCUCUUCGGGGGCGUGGAUUCGAAUCCCACCGCUGCCA